rnacentral:tRNA from 1 species
GCGCGAUUAGCUCAAUUGGAUAGAGCGUUGGUCUACGGAACCAAAGGUUAGGAGUUCGAGCCUCUUAUCGCGCACCA